ensembl:lncRNA
GGACUCAGCUGGGAUGAGAGGAACCCUUGGUGGAUUGUCACUCUUGCUCAAUGGCCUGUGGCCCCUGGUGACGGGCUGUUCUCUUCCCCAGUGGAGUUGCCAGUAUUGACCAAGGAUCAUACACAAGGAGGGCACUGGCCACCUGACUGCAGAGAGCCACUGCUGUGGAGUCACAAAGCGAAGCCUACCCUGUGGGAGAGCCAGGAACAUUUCUGACUUGUGGAAGGCCUGGGGCACCAUGGCAAAGGAGCAAGUGAGAUGGGCCAUCCUAAACGGCUGUCGCAUGCCAGGAUGAAGGGCCAUGCAUCCAUUCAUUUGGCUGGAUACUAAGGACAGAGCCAUGCAUCUGUUCAUCUCAUGGACACAAAGACAAGUUUCCUGGUGUCUUCCUGCAAGACAGAAUCAUGCAUCAGUUUAUUUGCCUGAGUACUAAGGUAACUCUUCCUUUGUCUUCCCACAGGACAGGGCCAUGCUUCUGUUCAUCUACUGGGACACUAAGGAAUCUGCAAGGAAUCUAUUCAUCAGCUUGGAUACUAAGGUAAGGAUGUUGAUGCCUUCUACACAGAAAAGCCAUGCAUGUGUUCAUCUGCACAGAUACUAAGUAUGACUGCUUCUGUCUUCCUACAAGACAGAGCCAUGCAUCUAGUCAUCUUCUUGGAUACUAAGGAAAGGCUGCUUCUGUCUUUGUGCAAGACAGGGCUAUGCAUCUGUUCAAGUGGUGGGAUAAUAAGAGGAGAGAUCCGUAUAUCUUUUCACCUGUUGGGAUACUAAGAUAAGUCUGUUUGCCUUCCUACACAAUGGGGACAUGCAUCUAUUCAUCUGCUCAGACACUAAGGUAGGGAUGCUGAUGUCUUCCUACAGGAUAGGGCCAUGUAUCUCUUCAUCUUACUGGAUACCAAGAAUGGGGCCAUGCAUCUGUUCAUCUUCUCAUAUACUAAGUAAGGCUGCUUGUGUCUUCAUAUGGGACAGGGCCAUGCAUCUUUUUAUGUGCUGGAAUACUAAGGUAAGUCUACUGAUGUUUUCUUACAUGACAGAAUCAUGCAUCUGUUCAUCUGCCUGAAUACUAGGGUAAGGCUCCUGUUGUCUUCCUGUAGGAUAAAGCCAUGCAUGUCUUCAUGGGCCUAGGUACUACCUUAAUUGUUCUUCUGUCUUCCCACAGGACAGGGCCAUGCAUCUGUUCAUCUUCUUAUAUACUAAGGACAGAUCCACACACUUCAUCUGCUUGGACACCAUGAAAGUCUCCUUCUGUCUACCUACAGGACACAGCCAUGAAUCUAUUCAUCAGCUCAGAUACCAAGGUAGGCAAAGCACCACUGAGCUACCUUCCCACCUGCUGAUGUCUUCCUGCAAGACAGGGUCAUGCAUUUGGUCAUCUUCUCAGAUACUAAGGUAAGGCUGCUCCUGUCAUCAUACAAGACAGGGCCGUGCAUCUGUUCAUGUGCUGGGAUACUAAGGUAAGUCUACUGAUGUUUUCCUACAUGACAGAAUCAUGCAUCUGUUCAUCUGCCUGAAUACUAGGGUAAGGCUCCUGAUGUCUUCCUGUAGGAUAAAGCCAUGCAUGUCUUCAUGGGCCUAGGUACUACCUUAAUUGUUCUUCUGUCUUCCCACAGGACAGGGCCAUGGAUCUGUUCUUCUCCUUAUAUACUCAGGUAAGUCUGCUUCUGUCUUCCUAGAGGACAGAGCCAUGCAUUUGUUCAUCUACACAGACACUAAGGCAAGUCUUUGGAUGUCCUCCUGCAGGACAGAUCCAUGCAUCUGUUAAUGUGCACAGAUACUAAAGUAAGUCUGUUAAAAUCCUUGUGUUGGACCCAGCUUCUUUUGAACUUUCUUGGUGGCCAUGGAGUGAGUGUUUUGUCCCCUGAAGAGUUCAAACUUACUUGGCAUCCUAACGGUAGGGCUCGGGGAAGUGGUUAUGUCCUGCCGAGCGAGUACUUGCAAUGGCAUUAGUGGGAAUUCAUAACUUUGGCCUUUUUGCUUUCUGCCAUUUAGAGAUACAGGUCCUCUUUUCUGUGGAUGGAUCAUCAAGUUGCCCUCAUGCAGUGGAAACACAGCCUUCAAAAGACAAAUGAUUCUCCCAUCCCUUUGAGUUCCUAUGUCUCAGCCUCCGGAACCUAGCCUAGAAUUGUACAAGACACCACCAGAAACCUCAGAAAUCAACGAGCAAAACACUGAAACAGAUUGCUUCUCCUCGCUGACUACAAGGUGGCUGCUACCCAUCCUGGGACCCUUCAUUGUCAUCAUCUGUAUGCAGCGCCUUGAUCAAUUUUUUUCCAAGGCUGGAUUCAUCCAGCCACUAACUUCCUCACCUCCCAAAAGCUGAUGAACAGAUAUCCCUACCGGUGUGAGACCCCAACCCCACCUACCAACUCAGCUCCUCCCCCUGACAAUGGCCCCAGUCAGCAUGAAGCUGCUACUUGAGACAGCUCAUGACCUCAUCCCUUAUAACAAGGAGCCGUGAAUGUAAGGCCUAAACCCACCAGGCCUAAGCACAGCAUCCUUCAUCCUUCAGCAGCCUUCUUGGCCCUAGCAGCAGCUCGGAAGGAGGCCUCAGCACUUAGUCCCUCUUCCCAUGUCCUCAGUGAAAGCCUGCUCUCUUUCAUUCCGUGUCGUGGCACUGGUGUAUAGUCACUGGAGACAGUAAACUUCCACUUUAAA